rnacentral:rRNA from 1 species
UACGUAGGGGGCAAGCGUUGUCCGGAUUUAUUGGGCGUAAAGAGCGUGUAGGCGGCUUGGUAGGUCCGCUGUGAAAACUCGAGGCUCAACCUCGAGAUGUCGGCGGAAACCACUUGGCUAGAGUCCGGAAGAGGAGAGUGGAAUUCCCGGUGUAGCGGUGAAAUGCGCAGAUAUCGGGAAGAACACCCGUGGCGAAGGCGGCUCUCUGGGACGGUACUGACGCUGAGACGCGAAAAGCGUGGGGGAGCAAACAGG